rnacentral:rRNA from 1 species
CAGUCGAGCGCGGGAAGCAGGCAGAUCCUCUUCGGAGGUGACGCCUGUGGAACGAGCGGCGGACGGGUGAGUAACACGUGGGCAACCUGCCUGUAAGACUGGGAUAACCCCGGGAAACCGGGGCUAAUACCGGAUAAUACUUUUCGUUGCAUAACGAGAAGUUGAAAGGCGGCUUUUAGCUGUCACUUACAGAUGGGCCCGCGGCGCAUUAGCUAGUUGGUAAGGUAACGGCUUACCAAGGCGACGAUGCGUAGCCGACCUGAGAGGGUGAUCGGCCACACUGGGACUGAGACACGGCCCAGACUCCUACGGGAGGCAGCAGUAGGGAAUCUUCCGCAAUGGACGAAAGUCUGACGGAGCAACGCCGCGUGAGUGAUGAAGGUUUUCGGAUCGUAAAACUCUGUUGUCAGGGAAGAACAAGUGCCGUUCAAAUAGGGCGGCACCUUGACGGUACCUGACCAGAAAGCCCCGGCUAACUACGUGCCAGCAGCCGCGGUAAUACGUAGGGGGCAAGCGUUGUCCGGAAUUAUUGGGCGUAAAGCGCGCGCAGGCGGUCCUUUAAGUCUGAUGUGAAAGCCCACGGCUUAACCGUGGAGGGCCAUUGGAAACUGGAGGACUUGAGUACAGAAGAGGAGAGUGGAAUUCCACGUGUAGCGGUGAAAUGCGUAGAGAUGUGGAGGAACACCAGUGGCGAAGGCGACUCUCUGGUCUGUAACUGACGCUGAGGUGCGAAAGCGUGGGGAGCGAACAGGAUUAGAUACCCUGGUAGUCCACGCCGUAAACGAUGAGUGCUAGGUGUUAGGGGGUUUCCGCCCCUUAGUGCUGAAGUUAACGCAUUAAGCACUCCGCCUGGGGAGUACGGCCGCAAGGCUGAAACUC